rnacentral:rRNA from 1 species
CAGUGGGGAAUAUUGGACAAUGGGCGCAAGCCUGAUCCAGCAAUGCCGCGUGGGUGAAGAAGGUCUUCGGAUCGUAAAGCCCUUUCGACAGGGACGAUGAUGACGGUACCUGUAGAAGAAGCCCCGGCUAACUUCGUGCCAGCAGCCGCGGUAAUACGAAGGGGGCUAGCGUUGCUCGGAAUUACUGGGCGUAAAGGGCGCGUAGGCGGCUUAGUCAGUCAGGCGUGAAAUUCCUGGGCUUAACCUGGGGGCUGCGCUUGAUACGGCUAGGCUUGAGGGUAGGAGAGGGUCGUGGAAUUCCCAGUGUAGAGGUGAAAUUCGUAGAUAUUGGGAAGAACACCGGUGGCGAAGGCGGCGACCUGGCCUAUUACUGACGCUGAGGCGCGACAGCGUGGGGAGCAAACAGGAUUAGAUACCCCGGUAGUC